GACAGAGGAUGCAAGCGUUAUCCGGAAUGAUUGGGCGUAAAGCGUCUGUAGGUGGCUUUUUAAGUCCGCCGUCAAAUCCCAGGGCUCAACCCUGGACAGGCGGUGGAAACUACCAAGCUGGAGUACGGUAGGGGCAGAGGGAAUUUCCGGGUGGAGCGGGUGAAAUGCGUAGAGGUCGGAAAGAACACCAACGCGAAAGCACUCUGCUGGGCCGACACUGACACUGAGAGACGAAGCUAGGGGAGCGAAUGGG
rnacentral:rRNA from 1 species